rnacentral:rRNA from 1 species
UACGUAGGGGGCAAGCGUUGUCCGGAUUUAUUGGGCGUAAAGAGCGUGUAGGCGGCCAGGUAGGUCCGUUGUGAAAACUCGAGGCUCAACCUCGAGACGUCGGCGGAAACCCUCUGGCUAGAGUCCGGGAAGAGGAGAGUGGAAUUCCUGGUGUAGCGGUGAAAUGCGCAGAUAUCAGGAAGAACACCCGUGGCUAAGGCGGCUCUCUAGUACGGUACUGACGCUGAGACGCGAAAGCGUGGGGAGCGAACGG